UUCUAUUACAUCACAAAAUAAGAAUUGUUCUUAGUUCACACACAUGCUCUGCUCUUUGCAAGGUGAGGCUUAAAUCAAGAUCCUCAACCUUGGCGCUAUUGAGAUGCUAGUCUUUUUGCGGAAGGCUACCCUGCACAUCGUAAGAUGAAACAGUACACAAUUGCCUCAGAGAAGCACCAUGUGUUUCCAAAGUGUGAAUCUGAAAACCAUCCAUCUGGGCAUGUUGGCAUCUUCCUGAGUUGUAUGUGAUUGAAAGAAAUGUAUUCAACAUUUUGCAACUCUUUGGCUGCAUGAGAAAGAGAAUAAGCUGCCUACAGAUGGUGGACAAGGAGACCCUGAAAUCUCAAAGCAAGGCAUGGAAACCUGAUGAUGUUCCUUUCAUCUUAUGACCACAUGCCAAAGGAAGCAGACUGAGUUUAUGUACCCCAACCUACAUAGAGUAGGAGCUCUUAUCCUGGAUUCCAUGGAGAUAAGCAGAGUAUACUGUAUGGUGGAGAAUAAGCCAGCCUUUGCCUUACAGAGUCAGGGCCAGAAUAAGGCACAGAAGUAAACUGAAAAGAGACCCCAAGCCAUGGCCACAGGUGUUGGAGGUGCUGCACUGCAAAAGAUAGGCUUGCUCCAUGAAGCUUUAAACUCCAUUAGAGAAGGCAUACAUUUAGUCCUCAUGAAGUGCUAUGGACACUUAAGGACCUCCAUUUACUUGAUGGAAGAGGAGAGGGGUUAGCAAACUAGACUUUCUUUCCAUAGAAGGCUGGAUAGUAAGUAUUGUAGGCUUUCGUGCCACAUAGAAUAUGACAACUACUUAACUCUACCUUCAUUAUUUUGAAAGCACUCAUAAAAAAUGUGCAAACAAAUGGCAUUUUCCAAUAAAACUUUAUGGAUAAUGAGCUUUGAAUUUCUG
rnacentral:lncRNA from 13 species